rnacentral:rRNA from 1 species
GCAUGCGGGUGCUAUACAUGCAAGUCGUGCGGACCUUUUAAAAGCUUGCUUUUAAAAGGUUAGCGGCGGACGGGUGAGUAACACGUGGGCAACCUGCCUGUAAGACUGGGAUAACGCCGGGAAACCGGGGCUAAUACCGGAUAGUUUUUUCCUCCGCAUGGAGGAAAAAGGAAAGGCGGCUUCGGCUGCCACUUACAGAUGGGCCCGCGGCGCAUUAGCUAGUUGGCGGGGUAACGGCCCACCAAGGCAACGAUGCGUAGCCGACCUGAGAGGGUGAUCGGCCACAUUGGGACUGAGACACGGCCCAAACUCCUACGGGAGGCAGCAGUAGGGAAUCUUCCGCAAUGGACGAAAGUCUGACGGAGCAACGCCGCGUGAGUGAAGAAGGCCUUCGGGUCGUAAAACUCUGUUGCCGGGGAAGAACAAGUGCCGUUCGAACAGGGCGGCGCCUUGACGGUACCCGGCCAGAAAGCCACGGCUAACUACGUGCCAGCAGCCGCGGUAAUACGUAGGUGGCAAGCGUUGUCCGGAAUUAUUGGGCGUAAAGCGCGCGCAGGCGGCUUCUUAAGUCUGAUGUGAAAUCUUGCGGCUCAACCCGCAAGCGGUCAUUGGAAACUGGGAGGCUUGAGUGCAGAAGAGGAGAGUGGAAUUCCACGUGUAGCGGUGAAAUGCGUAGAGAUGUGGAGGAACACCAGUGGCGAAGGCGGCUCUCUGGUCUGUAACUGACGCUGAGGCGCGAAAGCGUGGGGAGCAAACAGGAUUAGAUACCCUGGUAGUCCACGCCGUAAACGAUGAGUGCUAAGUGUUAGAGGGUUUCCGCCCUUUAGUGCUGCAGCUAACGCAUUAAGCACUCCGCCUGGGGAGUACGGCCGCAAGGCUGAAACUCAAAGGAAUUGACGGGGGCCCGCACAAGCGGUGGAGCAUGUGGUUUAAUUCGAAGCAACGCGAAGAACCUUACCAGGUCUUGACAUCCUCUGACCUCCCUGGAGACAGGGCCUUCCCCUUCGGGGGACAGAGUGACAGGUGGUGCAUGGUUGUCGUCAGCUCGUGUCGUGAGAUGUUGGGUUAAGUCCCGCAACGAGCGCAACCCUUGACCUUAGUUGCCAGCAUUCAGUUGGGCACUCUAAGGUGACUGCCGGUGACAAACCGGAGGAAGGUGGGGAUGACGUCAAAUCAUCAUGCCCCUUAUGACCUGGGCUACACACGUGCUACAAUGGAUGGUACAAAGGGCUGCGAGACCGCGAGGUUAAGCCAAUCCCAGAAAACCAUUCCCAGUUCGGAUUGCAGGCUGCAACCCGCCUGCAUGAAGCCGGAAUCGCUAGUAAUCGCGGAUCAGCAUGCCGCGGUGAAUACGUUCCCGGGCCUUGUACACACCGCCCGUCACACCACGAGAGUUUGUAACACCCGAAGUCGGUGAGGUAACCUUACGGAGCCAGCCGCCGAAGGUGACAGAGG